UGGGGAAUAUUGCACAAUGGGCGAAAGCCUGAUGCAGCAACGCCGCGUGCGGGAUGACGGCCUUCGGGUUGUAAACCGCUUUCAGCAGGGACGAAGGGUUUCUGACGGUACCUGCAGAAGAAGCACCGGCUAACUACGUGCCAGCAGCCGCGGUGAUACGUAGGGUGCGAGCGUUGUCCGGAAUUAUUGGGCGUAAAGAGCUUGUAGGCGGUUCGUUGCGUCGGAAGUGAAAACUCAGGGCUUAACCCUGAGCCUGCUUUCGAUACGGGCGGACUUGAGGGAUGUAGGGGAGAACGGAAUUCCUGGUGGAGCGGUGGAAUGCGCAGAUAUCAGGAGGAACACCAGUGGCGAAGGCGGUUCUCUGGACAUUUCCUGACGCUGAGAAGCGAAAGCGUGGGGAGCAAACAG
rnacentral:rRNA from 1 species